AAAAAUACUCCAUGCUAUCAUUUUGCAUUUGUGUCUUCCAGAUGUGGAUUUUAGAAUGCAAUCCAAAAAAAACAGUUAUGAAGCUGAUUUGCUGAUAAGUAACCCUAGUAUUGUAUUACUUGUGCCUUCUUUAGGAGAAAGUUCCAUUAAACUCAGUAGGACUACAAAUCAAAAGGAAAAUGAAGUGAAUAAAGCUUAACUGACUAGAAUAUUGCUGUGUUUUUCUGGCACUUAUGACAAUAUUGCCAGACUUCUUUUAAAUGGAGGGAAUCAAGGUUUGAAGAGAUCUGAGAAGAAACAUAUCACUUACAGGCUCCACUUUGUCCACUCCUGAUCUACUCUAUCAAGCAUGUUAUAUUACCUGUAAAAAAUAGCAUCUUUAUUUUUUUGAUAUUGCAGACAAGUACUACUAACACUGUUGGCCUUGAAAUCAUUGAUAGCUAAUGAAAAUGCAAGUUGUUUAUGCUAAGAUUAUACCAAAAUAAUGACAAGUCCCCUGAAUAUACCAUUUAUUACUGUAAACUAAAUCACAAAUGUGGUGAUAAGAUUAAACAUGCAUAGAUUAGAUUUUAGUUAUAUCUGAAACAAAAUCAGAUCUGUAUAAGAAACUUGCUAUGAUGCCAUGUAUCAUUUACAAGGAGAACAUGUUUUGAAAAGCUACUGUUUUUGUCUUGUUGAAAUUGUGCUGUAUGCCUUAAAGUUAUUUUGAUUUAUGGGAAUGUUAAGACAAACCUAUCAUGGGGUUUUUGCCAAGAUUUGUUCAGAGA
rnacentral:lncRNA from 11 species